rnacentral:rRNA from 1 species
AUUGAACGCUGGCGGCAUGCCUUACACAUGCAAGUCGAACGGUAACAGGUCUUCGGAUGCUGACGAGUGGCGAACGGGUGAGUAAUACAUCGGAACGUGCCUAGUAGUGGGGGAUAACUACUCGAAAGGGUGGCUAAUACCGCAUGAGAUCUACGGAUGAAAGCAGGGGAUCGCAAGACCUUGUGCUACUAGAGCGGCCGAUGGCAGAUUAGGUAGUUGGUGGGAUAAAAGCUUACCAAGCCGACGAUCUGUAGCUGGUCUGAGAGGACGAUCAGCCACACGGGGACUGGGACACGGCCCAGACUCCUACGGGAGGCAGCAGUGGGGAAUGUUGGACAAUGGUCGCAAGCCUGAUCCAGCAAUGCCGCGUGCAGGAUGAAGGCCUUCGGGUUGUAAACUGCUUUUGUACGGAACGAAAAGCCCUGGGUUAAUACCCUGGGGUCAUGACGGUACCGUAAGAAUAAGCACCGGCUAACUACGUGCCAGCCGCCGCGGUAAAAC